GCCCUGAUAGCUCAGUUGGCAGAGCGCGUCCUUGGUAAGGACGAGGUCUCCAGUUCAAUCCUGGAUCAGGGCUCCA
rnacentral:tRNA from 1 species